GAGAGGCAUUCAUUGCUAAAGUUUCUUGAUACAAAGCCUGCAAAAAUAGUUUCCCCAAAUUUUAGUAAAGACAAAAGCGAGGCUAAAUCAAAUGCUUGUAUGAGAAAGAUAGUUUACCGUUUAUCAUUGCCAGAUAUACUCUCAUUGCCCUACUUCCUAGACUGCAAUUCAAUUUUCAAAGCCUUAAGAAGGUCUUGCAUUUCAAUUUGUUGGUUUUGCAUUUCAGCUUGUCAGUUCUCCAGCCUUUGCAUAAGUUGCUAUUGAGUUUGGACUUAAAUUUCCAACUCAGCUG
rnacentral:lncRNA from 1 species